GAGGGUAUUGCUCAAGAGCUAGGGCACAUGCUUAGCAUGCACAAGGUCCUGGGUUCAAUCCCCAGUGCCUCCU
rnacentral:tRNA from 1 species